rnacentral:rRNA from 1 species
AGAGUUUGAUCCUGGCUCAGGAUGAACGCUGGCGGCGUGCUUAAUACAUGCAAGUCGAACGGGAUAGCAAUAUCUAGUGGCGACCGGGUGCGUAACACGUAGCUGACCUACCUCUCAGCGGGGGACAACAGCCCGAAAGGGCUGCUAAUACCGCAUGAACUUACCCGAAAUAGCGUAAGGUAAGGAAACUUCCGGGGCUGAGAGAGGGGGCUGCGGCCCAUCAGGUAGUUGGUAGGGUAACGGCCUACCAAGCCAACGACGGGUAGGGGGCCAGAGAGGGUGACCCCCCACACUGGGACUGACACACGGCCCAGACUCCUGCGGGAGGCAGCAGUAAGGAAUAUUGGGCAAUGGGCGAAAGCCUGACCCAGCAACGCCGCGUGGAGGACGAAGGCCUUCGGGUCGUAAACUCCUUUUGUGUGGGACAAGAGAGGAUGGUACCACACGAAUAAG